rnacentral:rRNA from 1 species
GCUCAGUAACACGUGGAUAACCUACCCUUAGGACCGGGAUAGCCCUGGGAAACUGGGGCUAAUACUGGAUAGAUGAUUUUUCCUGUAAUGGUUUUUUGUUUAAAUGUUUUUUUUCGCCUAAGGAUGGGUCUGCGGCCGAUUAGGUAGUUGGUUAGGUAAUGGCUUACCAAGCCUUUGAUCGGUACGGGUUGUGGGAGCAAGAGCCCGGAGAUGGAACCUGAGACAAGGUUCCAGGCCCUACGGGGUGCAGCAGGCGCGAAACCUCCGCAAUGUGAGAAAUCGCGACGGGGGGAUCCCAAGUGCCAUUCUUAACGGGAUGGCUUUUCUUUAGUGUAAAGAGCUUUUGGAAUAAGAGCUGGGCAAGACCGGUGCCAGCCGCCGCGGUAACACCGGCAGCUCUAGUGGUAGCAAUUUUUAUUGGGCCUAAAGCGUCCGUAGCCGGUUUAAUAAGUCUCUGGUGAAAUCCUGUAGCUUAACUGUGGGAAUUGCUGGAGAUACUAUUAGACUUGAGACCGGGAGAGGUUAGAGGUACUCCCAGGGUAGAGGUGAAAUUCUGUAAUCCUGGGAGGACCGCCUGUUGCGAAGGCGUCUAACUGGAACGGUUUCUGACGGUGAGGGACGAAAGUUARGGGCGCGAACCGGAUUAGAUACCCGGGUAGUCCUAACUGUAAACGAUGCGGACUUGGUGUUGGGGUGGCUUUGAGCUGCUUCAGUGCCGAAGGGAAGCUGUUAAGUCCGCCGCCUGGGAAGUACGGUCGCAAGACUGAAACUUAAGGAAUUGGCGGGGGAGCACCACAACACGUGGAGCCUGCGGUUUAAUUGGAUUCAACGCCGGACAUCUCACCAGAGGCGACAGCUGUAUGAUAGCCAGGUUGAUGACUUUGCUUGACUAGCUGAGAGGAGGUGCAUGGCCGCCGUCAGCUCGUACCGUGAGGCGUCCUGUUAAGUCAGGCAACGAGCGAGACCCACGCCCUUAGUUACCAGCUUAUCCUUUUUUGGAUGAUGGGCACACUAAGGGGACCGCCUAUGAUAAAUAGGAGGAAGGAGUGGACGACGGUAGGUCCGUAUGCCCCGAAUCCUCUGGGCAACACGCGGGCUACAAUGGCUAAGACAAUGGGUUCCGACACCGAAAGGUGGAGGUAAUCCUCUAAACUUAGUCGUAGUUCGGAUUGAGGACUGUAACUCGUUCUCAUGAAGCUGGAAUGUGUAGUAAUCGCGUAUCACUAUUGCGCGGUGAAUACGUCCCUGCUCCUUGCACACACCG